GCUAGAUGUUGAGUGUGUUAAUGCCAACCUCCUCUCCCAAAAACUGAAUGAAAUUAAAUCUACUUUCUUCACCAAUAUUAACAAAGAGAAAUACACAAAGCAACAAAGUUAAAGUUUUUAUAGUAGUAGUGCUAGUACGAAACACACAGAUAAAACAUUUGGCAGCAGCUUGGCUUUUAGUCCAAAACAAAAAAAAAAAAGUUGAGUUUUCUUUGAAUUUGUACUUUGAUAGAUUCUACUGGAAAUGAAUAAACAGGUUAUUUACUGAUGGGCACUUGUAGGUUGUUCUUUUUAGUUUUUGGUUUUUGUGGGUUUUGUGUAAAUUUUGUUACUCCCUUGGGGUUUGGUACUUUUUAAACGGACUCAAAUGCUCCUGCAUGGUUCCUGUGUGCUCAUUACUGUUCAUACGUUUUGUACUGUUCAGUUGAGGCACAAACUCAAACUCAUUGCAGUGGGGGUGUAAGUUUCUUGGAUUUCAGACUUCAACGGUAAAAAAAAACUAUAUGUUGAUUAAUAUACGUCAAGUUUGGAACUUGAAGGGUUUAAAGAACCGCAAGAGGUCCUGGUGAUAUGAAUCUUUAUGAACUUAAAAAAAAAAAGCGAAAACAAAGGAACAGAGUAAUCAGACAGAGAAAG